UGGAGGAGCUGGCCAAGGCCCC
rnacentral:misc_RNA from 1 species